UAGGGAAUUUUCGGCAAUGGGCGAAAGCCUGACCGAGCGACGCCGCGUGGGGGAUGAAGGCCUUCGGGUCGUAAACCCCUGUCCUUGGGGACGAAGUGCUGACGGUACCCAAGGAGGAAGCCCCGGCUAACUACGUG
rnacentral:rRNA from 1 species